rnacentral:tRNA from 1 species
GGGCAAAUAGCUCAGUCGUAGACCACAGGCUUAGCAUGCAUGAGGUCCUGGGUUCAAUCCCCAGUACACCCA